UUCUGAGAACACAUUUAUUGUCAAAAAUCAAUACAGCAUACAGAUCUAACAAAAAUUGCCUCAGAAUAAUUUGAUCUGGUGGAUUUCUUGUUGGUUUCUCUCCCAUUCAUGAUGUAAAGCAAUCCCACAAAAUUAAAUACUAAGCCUACUAAUAAUGAUAAAGCCUUUAAUACGCACAGAAAAUUUUUAGUCCCAACAGAACAAGGAAUCCUUAUUAAGAUCUGUGCAUGUAGCAUAAACCUCCUUCUACAUUUCAGGGAACCAGACUGCAUCAAAACCUCUUUACAAUUCCAAUUUAUUCCAACGCCCCUUGAAAAACACAGAUAGAUCACCAAGUAAUACAGCAUCUUUAAAAACAGUUUCUUAGCUUAUUCUAUAUACAAUCUUCUUUUUCCUAAGGAAUAUGCACUGUUUUUGUAUUAGGAAAUGUUAAGAACAGUGAGCUAAAACCUCUGUGAAAAUCAGUGUCUCAUGAUAGAUCAAUCCGAGCUUGUAGAAAUAGGUUUACCUUAAAAGCAUGGAAGCACAAGAGCACUGGGGCCUGUGCUUAACUGACAGUAUUAUAAAUUUAUGGGCUAAAAACAUAUGCAGUUUAAAAAUUAAUCAUGUUAGAAGAAGAUUUCAAAUUAAUAGUUUGAAUUACUGUACUUUUCCCACAUGUCUGAAAUCCAUAGGUUAGAAAUCUUAUCUGAGAAAGAUUAAACCAUUUGCACUGAACUUAUCUCUACAUAUCUCUAAGUUCAAGACUGCCUGCACCCACACGCCAGAGGCACACAUGCCCCCUGAUCCAGUCUAAACUCAUUUGUCCUCUCCCUCAGUACCAACAUUUCCAGUCUGUGCACUAGAAAAGCCUCUCCCUUGUAGUUACUGCAAUCCACUUAUCUCCUGAUCUGUUUAUCAGUGCUCAGUACUUACACACAAAACAGCUAUGAUGGUGCUCACUAAAGGUCUGAUUGGUCGAAUAUCUUAUCUCCAGCUGAUAGCAGAUGCUCAUGGAAGCAGUACAAGAGUCAAGGCAAAGUGAACUUCCCUUGGUUUAUCCUCCUAGGAAGCAGUACAAGAGUCAAGGCAAAGUGAACUUUCCCUUGGUUUAUCCUCCUAGGAAGCAGUACAAGAGUCAAAACAAAGUGAACUUUCCCUUGGUUUAUCCUCCUAGGUUCUGGCAAUUGAUUCAAAGACUGCCUGAGCUGAAAAUUAGAUCUGGACCAUUGUGGUUUGAGGAGAUACAUGGUCUAUACUGGAGUUUUUUUGUAAGCCUUUUUCACAAUUUAGCUACACAAUUAAAGUUCCACAAUUUAAUUAUAUGAAGGUUGUUUUGUGAUGUCACAGGCUUGUUUCAUACU
rnacentral:lncRNA from 1 species